rnacentral:rRNA from 1 species
CAGUCGCCACGGGAACACGAAGGGUGCAAGCGUUAAUCGGAAUUACUGGGCGUAAAGCGUGCGUAGGCGGUGAGUUAAGUCUGCUGUGAAAUCCCCGGGCUCAACCUGGGAAUGGCAGUGGAUACUGGCUCGCUAGAGUGUGUCAGAGGAUGGUGGAAUUCCCGGUGUAGCGGUGAAAUGCGUAGAGAUCGGGAGGAACAUCAGUGGCGAAGGCGGCCAUCUGGGACAACACCGACGCUGAGGCACGAAAGCGUGGGGAGCAAACAGGAUUAGAUACCCGCGUAGUCCCUGUCUCUUAUAC